UACGAAGGGGGCUAGCGUUGCUCGGAAUCACUGGGCGUAAAGGGUGCGUAGGCGGGUCUUUAAGUCAGGGGUGAAAUCCUGGAGCUCAACUCCAGAACUGCCUUUGAUACUGAGGAGCUCGAGUCCGGGAGAGGUGAGUGGAACUGCGAGUGUAGAGGUGAAAUUCGUAGAUAUUCGCAAGAACACCAGUGGCGAAGGCGGCUCACUGGCCCGGUACUGACGCUGAGGUGCGAAAGCGUGGGGAGCGAACAGG
rnacentral:rRNA from 1 species